rnacentral:rRNA from 1 species
CAGGUAGUUGGUGGGGUAACGGCCUACCAAGCCUUCGAUCCGUAGCUGGUCUGAGAGGAUGAUCAGCCACACUGGGACUGAGAUACGGCCCAGACUCCUACGGGAGGCAGCAGUGGGGAAUAUUGGACAAUGGGGGCAACCCUGAUCCAGCAAUGCCGCGUGGAUGAUGAAGGCCUUCGGGUUGUAAAGUCCUUUCGGCGGGGAAGAUGAUGACGGUACCCGCAGAAGAAGCCCCGGCUAACUUCGUGCCAGCAGCCGCGGUAAUACGAAGGGGGCUAGCGUUGUUCGGAAUUACUGGGCGUAAAGGGCGCGUAGGCUGUGCUGUAAGUCAGGCGUGAAAGCCCCGGGCUCAACCUGGGAAUUGCGCUUGAUACUGCGGCGCUGGAAGGUGGGAGAGGAUGGCGGAAUUCCCAGUGUAGAGGUGAAAUUCGUAGAUAUUGGGAAGAACACCGGUGGCGAAGGCGGCCAUCUGGCCCACAUUUGACGCUGAGGCGCGAAAGCGUGGGGAGCAAACAGGAUUAGAUACCCUGGUAGUCCACGCUGUAAACGAUGAGUGCUAGACGUCGGGGAGCUUGCUCUUCGGUGUCGCCGCUAACGCAUUAAGCACUCCGCCUGGGGAGUACGGUCGCAAGAUUAAAACUCAAAGGAAUUGACGG